ACUCGAGAGGGAUGCGGAGAGAGGAGGUGCGCGAGGGGAUCUAGGGCCACCGAGCCAGCCGAGCCGAGCCGCGCGAGGGCCGAGGGGAGCCGACAAGCGACGGGAUCCACAGCGGCGCGCGGGAUGCGGGUGAAUUGUGCGCGGGCCGAUCCUGCCGAGGCGGUCCAUCCGAUUGGGAAGUGGAAAGGGGGGGACACGGGAAGAGGAGGCGCGCGCGCGAGGGGAUCCAGCGCCGCGGGCGAUAAUGGCCGGCGCCUCAUCUGCCGGAAACUGCUCGCAAUCAUACCUCAGUUUCUCAACGCUCAUUCAUGGCGAUUGAUGUGCCAAUUCUUUCCGCUGUCGAGCGGUACAUCUAUAUAUGCUUCCUCCUCUGGUCGCUCACCCUCUCUACUCCGGCAGCAAAACAAUCAUGCCGGGCAGGGUUCCCUGUAUUUCCUUAUUUUGGUUUUCAGUUCAUGUAUGAUUCAUUUUUGCACAAAGCAAUUACAUUUUCUUGAUGUCCUCUCAUACAAAAAAUUUGUGCAUACAGGUGAUGUUCAUGCUAGCGGUGCUCGAUUGAUUUCAUUUUGUAGCUUCGUACUGGAAUUUUUUGGUGUUGGUAAUCUCAAAUCUCUUUGGACAGAAGCAGAGGCCGAUUGUGCUUAUGAACUAGCAGUGCCUAAGGCCAAUAUGUCGCAGUUACAUACAGACCUAUCAGGUUCAUUGGAGUUCUGCUUGAUGGAACUUUCUGUUUGUUGCCACUUUUUCACUAUUAUCUUUUGUGCGUGGGUUUUCUGAACCUCCCAGAAAAGUGACACCACUAGCCUUUGGUGCAAUAUUUUUUCUUGAAAUCUUGCCAUAUUUUGGAGGCAGAGGUUUGCCCUUACUAUACAUUACACAUGUUGGGCAAUACCAAUCUGCAUUAGACAUGCCUUUGAUCCCUUACUAUUGAAGGCAAUUUAAGUGUAUACCUCUCUCCGCAAGCAUCACAAAGGAGUAAACUCUCCACGACAGUGGUGAAUGUUUUACAUAUUUGACAGUCCAGCCGUGCAUGCACAUACUCACUUGAUGGUAGCAUCCAGCUAGGAUGAUUGGCAGGUUGGUGUCAGACCAGUUGAACGAGAAGCAGUAUUUCUGUUGAACAAAUGUUGCGCUCCCGGUGAAACUUCAUCGCCUAUAAUAGUGUUAACGUUGACAGGGUGAGUCAUAGGUGCCUUAUUUUGCUGAGAUUUCAGUGUAACUUUGUUGCUUGCUCUUAAAAAAAGAUUCAUUGCGUCCCUGCCUUAGCAUUAAGAGUACACAUGCUCUCGCUCCAUGGCCAGUCAUGUAGAACUGGCCUCUCCACUGUAAGAUCUAUGUCACAAGUUACAAGUGAGUUUAUAUAUUCUCUCCAUUAUUGCUUUAUCCUGGUUUGCCUUAUUAGCAUCCUCACUUCUCUCCUUGUCUUUGUCCGUUUUCAAAAAUGUCAUCAACAUGAUUAAUUGGAAGCGUGUAAAAUAUAUAAAGCUAUCGUCCACACAAUAAAAAUUGUCCUUUGUCAACAAAAUGUUUAAAAGGGUGGUUUCAGUUUGAUAUAAAAGUUUAUGCCUCAUCUUACAUGGAAUUUUGUCAUGAUAAUUUAACCGAUAAACUUAAUAGAUGUACUAAUUUAUUUUCUUCUGCUAUGCUUUAUAUAGUUCAGUUGCAUUUUGUUGUGAUAGAUCUAUGACUUCAGGAUGGACAUAAUGGAAAAUGCCAACUAUCUUACUGCUUAAUAAAUACAUCCACAAGGUUAUGGAGAAUUCACCUAAUAGACAUGUGUGUCUCUAUAUUUCAGAAUCAUGCUUCAAGCUUUCAUCUUGAGAGAUUCCGGCAACCCAAAUAUACUAGAAGGUGGAAUCAUUUAUGCAAAAGGAGUUCAUUAUGUAGUCGAUUAGGAUUAGGAGUGGAACAUCUCGUGCAAAAACAAUUAUAUUGCACAUUUUCUUUAUCUUGUUUAACUUCCAGGCAUGAAGGUGAGCACACGACUUUUUCCUAUGGCUUGUGUUGGCUUUGGCUUUGUGAUUUUUUUCAUCCGCUGCUGAGCAUAUCCAUUUAUUGAGAGCUUGAAAACAUCAGAUCAUGUACUUUUUCAUUUUCCACUAUUCACCCAGUAAAUUAUUUCUUACACCAAAGUUUCUGUAAACCAUCAGGUAUGAAGGUAUUCUAGCAUCAUACGAGACAAAGGGAAGUGAUGUUUUUUUAUAUGCAAAGAAAGUUGAACGAUGGAUAUCUAUU